rnacentral:rRNA from 1 species
UACGUAGGGUGCGAGCGUUGCCCGGAUUUAUUGGGCGUAAAGGGCGCGCAGGCGGCCACGCGCGUCCGUUGUGAAAUCGCUCGGCUCAACUGGGCGAGGUCAGCGGAUACGGCGUGGCUGGAGCAAGCUAGGGGGCAAUGGAAUUCCCGGUGUAGUGGUGGAAUGCGUAGAUAUCGGGAGGAACACCAGUGGCGAAGGCGGUUGCCUGGAGCUUUGCUGACGCUGCGGCGCGAAAGCGUGGGGAGCGAUCCGG